AGCUAACGCGUAGGAGCCCCGGGAAGGGUGAGCCAAGAGGGACGUGGCGCUCUGCGGCGCGGGCUGAGAAGCCGCGCCCCUUCCUUCUCUGGCUUUCAUAGAGAGUCCUGUGGAGCAGGAUUUGGGUGGGUGAGGUGCUUACCCGGGACGCGGACAAAAACCCAGGAUCCCACAGGACAUCACCUGGCCAAGUUCUUCAUUGUGUUCAGAAUGGGGGAGAGGGAGGCAGGAGUACUUACAAGAGACACUGUGUCGCUGACAGGGUCUUGGUGCUCCAGCUGGGUGACAGGCCUGUGCCUCUGAGGUGGGAGAGCCGAGUUCAGGACAUUUGUCCACCAGAGACCUCCUGGUUCCAUGUAAUAUCAAAUGGUGAAAGUUCUCCCAGAGAUCUCCAUCUCAGCGCUAAGACCCAGCUCCACUCAACGACAAGCAAACUAAGUGCUGGAUAUCCUAUGCCAAACAACUAGCAAGACAGGACACAACCCCACCCAUUAGCAGAGAGGCUGCCUAAAAUCAUAAUAAGGUCACAGACACCACAAAACACACCACCGGACGUGGUCCUGCCCACCAGAAAGACAAGAUCCAGCCUCAUCUACCAGAACACAGGCACCAGUCCCCUUGACCAGGAAGGCUACACAACCCACUGAACCAACCUUAGCCACUGGGGGCAGACACCAAAAACAACAGGAACUACAAACCUGCAGCCUGCAAAAAGGAGACCCCAAACACAGUAAGUUAAGCAAAAUGAGAAGACAGAGAAACACACAGCAGAUGAAGGAGCAAGGUAAAAACCCACCAGACCAAACAAAUGAAGAGGAAAUAGGCAGUCUACCUGAAAAAGAAUUCAGAGUAAUGAUAGUAAAGAUGAUCCAAAAUCUUGGAAAUAGAAUGGAGAAAAUACAGGAAACGUUUAACAAGGACCUAGAAGAACUAAAAAGAGCAAGUAAACAAUGAUGACCAACACAAUAAAUGAAAUUAAAAAUUCUCUAGAAGGAAUCAAUAGCAGAAUAACUGAGGCAGAAGAACGGAUAAGUGACCUGGAAGAUAAAAUAGUGGAAAUAACUACUGCAGAGCAGAAUAAAGAAAAAAGAAUGAAAAGAAUUGAGGACAGUCUUAGAGACCACUGGGACAACAGUAAGCACACCAACAUUCGAAUUAUAGGGGUCCCAGAAGAAGAAGAGAAAAAGAAAGGGACUGAGAAAAUAUUUGAAAAGAGUAUAGUUGAAAGCUUCCCUAAUAUGGGAAAGGAAAUAGUCAGUCAAGCCCAGGAAGCACAGAGAGUCCCAUACAGGAUAAAUCUAAGGAGAAACACACCAAGACACAUAUUAAUCAAACUACCAAAAAUUAAAUACAAAGAAAAAUA